GUGUGGUUGGUUAUGUGAAUCCCAUUUCGAUCAUCGUCGUAGACGACGACGUAGACUUAGCUUCACGGGUCUUGUAGCAGCGGCCAGGCGAUUUGGACAACAAGCUGUGGUGGCGAUGCUUCACUACUACUAGCGGCCUCCGAUCUUUUUUAGACAAAAGGUUUUCCCCGCUUCAUUAAAGGAAUAAAGCGUACAAAGUUUCAGAGUCAGAGCGUUGCGUAUUCGAGGCGCGUCUGCCAAACAGUUUUAAGGGAGAACGACAUCUAAAGACUGAGCAACUAAAACAUCUGAGCAUAUAUCAAGCGUCAUCUGCACAGUUGGCUGAGCAGCAGUGGAGGCCAGCCGGGAUUGAUCCCCAGGAGAUCGAGCCGAACUUGAUGCUUGUUGUUGCGUAGAGAUGUCCCAACAGAUCCUCGGUGGACUGCUCCCCCUUUCCAGCAGGUGUUGUGCGAUGUGAUCCAACUCUGCAAGCUUCUCCUGCUUCAACAGCACAUGGCAAUCGAGCACAAGACUUGCCCCUCGCCCUGUCAUUUGCCCCCCUGAAAGCACAAUUGGUUACGCAGUUUCCAGAGUGACCAUAAGGUCGUGCCAUUUCGUCGAUCAUCGUCGUAGACGACGACGUAGACUUAGCUUCACGGGUCUUGUAGCAGCGGCCUGGCAAUUUGGACAACAAGCUGUGGUGGCGAUGCUUCACUACUACUAGCGGCCUCCGAUCCUUUUUGCUGAGAGCCGGGUAGGGAUCUCCAAUCCUAGGCGGUCGCCGGAAUUGGUAGGCUGCGGCAAAGACUGUUAUACUUAACCGAUUAUCUAGGAUGGGGAUGCAUCACGGGCUUCAAUACGCUUCCCACCGUUGAUAUUCACACCAGGAACUGUAAAUGGAUGUUGCGCAUCAACUUGUUGUGCCUGGACAGCGGUGCAGGAAUGUGGCUGUGGCGGCAUCAGGCAAAGGUGGGAAUGUGUCUGAGGCUGCAAUAGGCAACUCACAUGUACCUGGAGAAAUGCCGCCGAUUUAUGUGCCACCACGUGAAGACAGCCGGCGGCCUGCUUCUCCAGCCGCAGAUGAUGGCAGCAGAAGCAGCAGCAGGAGCGCCAGAACAGUUGACGGUCCCACAGAGGCCACUCCAACUCGGCCCGCUGCCGCAGCUGUUGGCAGCAGAAACGACGCCACGAGGGGCAGCGAGGAGGAACACGAGCUACAGGCAGCAGCAAGAGGAGCAAAAGGACAGGGAGAGCCCAACGCGAGUCGGCCAGGUCAGAGCCCGGCGCCGGUUGCUGGCACCACCAGCAGCAACAGUGGCAGUGCCCCGGCUGGCCUGGAGGAGCCGCGGCCAUCCGUAGAGGCAGGACGAGCGGGAUCAGGCCAGGCUACUUUCUGCGACCGCCUGCUUUCUUGCUUCGGCCUUUGCUGCGACCGUCUGCUUUCUUGCUUCGGCCUUUGCUCUUGAGGUGGAAGCUCCAUCUUCCAACGCUGGAGCCUGCAAGGAUCUGGAUUCAGGACCCUAUUUUGUGCCUUUUGUCCGUUCUACCAAAACGCACACGCGUCAAAUGUUUCUGUGGCCGUUGAACAUUUGCUGAAAGACAUAUCGGGUCGAAUUGGGUUUUGUUAGAUUGACUACUCCGGGGAAUCGGACACGAUGGUUUGUGUUGAAAGCUCGUAUCACGUGUAUUUUCUGAAAGAAGAAAAAAAAAAGACUAGUUCACUGUACUGUAAUUUUGGAGGUAGUAGAGCAGGACGUACGCCA